rnacentral:rRNA from 1 species
ACGAACGGCUGGCGGCGUGCCUAAUACAUGCAAGUCGAACGGUCUUUCUAUGGAAGCUUGCUUCACUGAGAAGAUAGUGGCGAACGGGUGAGUAACACGUGGGUAACCUGCCCAUAAGAGGGGGAUAACAUCCGGAAACGGGUGCUAAUACCGCAUAGUUUUCUUGAUUGCAUGAUUGAGAAAGGAAAGACGGCCUUUGUGCUGUCGCUUAUGGAUGGACCCGCGGCGUAUUAGUUAGUUGGUGAGGUAACGGCUCACCAAGACGAUGAUACGUAGCCGACCUGAGAGGGUGAUCGGCCACAUUGGGACUGAGACACGGCCCAAACUCCUACGGGAGGCAGCAGUAGGGAAUCUUCCGCAAUGGACGAAAGUCUGACGGAGCAACGCCGCGUGAGUGAAGAAAAGGUUUUCGGAUCGUAAAACUCUGUUGUCAGAGAAGAACAAGUUGGAGAGUAACUGCUCCAGCCUUGACGGUAUCUGACCAGAAAGCCACGGCUAACUACGUGCCAGCCGCUGC